ensembl:snRNA U6 U6 spliceosomal RNA
GUGCUCGCUUUGGCAGCACAUGUACUAAAAUUGGAACGAUACAAAGAAUUGUAUGGCCCAUGCACAAGGAUGACACAAAUUCAUGAAGUAUUCAUAAAAAAA